UCUCUUCCACCGUCCACCGCCAUUACUCGCUCUCUCUCCCUCUCGGACUCUCCGCCGUAGCCUUUUUCUAUCAAGUUUCUCGCUACGCUCUACUUCAGGAGUUCUUCUCCCGAUACGCCGACAGAGUGGACCUAAGUGUACGUCUGCUCGAUCACUGCCGCGUUCUCUCGCUCUCUUCUUUGGUACUCUCACUCUCUCAACUUAAUGUAGUGGAAUUCAGUUCCGGGUUGAUGUUCGUUUGUGAAUUGCUAGCAAAUGUGUGAGUUUGAGUUUGGAUUGAAGUAGGAUCAGCGGUUGGCGUUUUUCCCCGUUGAGAUCUUGCUGUUUGUGUGCUACUUUGUUCCGUAUUGUUGGUUCGUGAAGUGUGAUUGGAGGAGAUUCGGAUCUCUGUUUGGCUAGGGAUUCUUGUGCAUUCUGAAUUAGUUCAUUUUGGCUAACGCCAUUUCUUAGUUCCACUUCGUCCUUUUCUGGUUUCGCUCUUUGUUAGUAAGCGUUGUUCGUUCGACUAGUUUUGCGGAGAUUCAGAUCCUAAUGUGUUAAAUCCAUCACGAGGCUCAUUUCAAGAUCCGAUAAACUGACUAAAUCAUCGUAUUCUAAUUUCAGAGAUGCGAGACUUGGUGUUCUGCACUUUUUUCUAUGUGAAUGGGGUAGUUGCAAGGAUUGAAAUACUUAGCGUAGCAUUUCAAUGAUGUACAGAUGUCAAUGUAGUCAACACCUAUACUCCUAAUAAGUAGUUUUCCUGGCUUAAUGAUUGGAAUUGUCAAAUUUCCUUUUGUUGUCUACUGCUACUCGGAUAUCGGAAUCAUUGCUCAACUUGAAAUAAGUAUUGCAUUGGCUUUAGAAGAAGUGAAUUCAUAGUCAGUGUCUCCAUUAGUGCUCUGGUAUGGUUAUUUGUUACGCACCUGUUUAGAGUCAUAUAAUGGGAUCAGGUUUAGUUCAGUUUGUUGUUGAGCUUUUGGAUCUUGUUUAGUCACUGAUACAUAAUUAUUCUUUCUUUACAAGAUUUUAGACUCAUCGGUUAUGUCAGAGGCGGGUUGCAUGGAUAUCAAGAUAUUGCCUGAAAAUGGCAGUAAUGGGUGCUCCAGUAUAGGGGCCAUCGACAAAAAUUGCAAUGGGAAUGCUGUUAGUAAUGUUGAAGAGCACCCAAAAAAUACCAUUUCCUCUAAGGUUUCAGCUGUUAAUGGGACUUCGAGUGUCAAUUCUGAAUCAGAAACUGUAAGUUCAGAGGUUACGGAGGUGGAGUACAUUG
rnacentral:lncRNA from 1 species